GCGCUCAGAAGCGGAUGCUGGUCCUGGGCCUGUCUUGUCCAUUCAUUUCAGUGCGUUGAUGUGCAGGCCGGUCAGCCACGUGGUGCGGUCCUGCGGUUCCCAGCAGGGCUGGUCCCUGGACGAGCCCGGAGGAGACCCGGCGAUGGGGGCCAGCGGGAGACAGAUGCAGGUGCAGAGGAUGCCCGGAGGCUGCCUCCCGGGCAGCGGGCGGGGACGGAGCCAGCGGCUGACCUCAGGCCUUUAGGGAAGAAAGUGAAAAAGGAAGCGGACAGGGGCUGGCUGGAAAAGAAGACUUUGCCUAGACUCGACCCACCUAGCCUGACGGAGAUCUUGAGGACCAGGAAGAUACCUACCUCCUGGGAUUCGGAGGCUCGACGGAUUGAGUGCGGGAAAGCACAGACAGACGCCUGGCACGUGGCAGACCCGGUACUCGGCUUACAGCUUACAGACUGCCCGAAACCUCUUCUACGCCCCCACCCCCCGCCCCCAGAGGUCCUCUGCUUUUCCCUGCCUCCACCCCCCAACUAUGACAGCGAUCCUCACAUCCCCUAAGGGGACCCUCCCUGCCCCACAUCCUUGCUUGGCCAGAGCUUCCUCACCUGACCUCCACCCCUGUGCCCCAUAGAGCAGUCCAGCCUCCAGGACGUGGAUGGGGGUGGCCAGGCCGCCCGGCUGGAACUCAGCACUCGGUGCUCCCUCCCCUCCACCCGGGUCCCCCGUUUUGCCCUCACUCCCGUAUCCGUUCCCCUUCUCCUGCCCCCCAUGUCAGGUCAGGGUGACAACAAGUGUUGCUGAGUGGGCAUUGAGUGGGCAUUCGUUGCCUUCCCAGCUCUGUGCCCAGCACUCUCCUCCCCAUCAUCCUCAAAUAGCCCCCAUAACCGGGGGCUCCAUUCUGGGGCGGUUCUCUCUCUUUGCCCCCCCCCAAAAACAGCUAAAGUUAACAGUGUGUUGCUGUGAAAAUCAAAAGCAAUAAGAACAGAGGAGACAGAUGAGCAUUUAAUGGGGUGACCAACAUCCCUGGAUUUGCCCAAGAUUAAGGGCUUUCCCGUGACACUUGCAUGGCUAAGCCUGGGAGAAUCCCUGGCAAAUGGGGCUGGCUGGUCACUCCAACAGUCCGGUCAUCCAGAAGCCCCCUGAUGCUGCUGUAACAGUGGCUCCACAGCUUUGAAGUCACCAUUUUGGGAGGGAACUUAACUCUUCUGAGCCUCGGUCUCCUCAUCUGUAAAAUGAGGAUAGACUUCAUAAGACCAUCAUUGGGAGGAUGUUGGUGUGUCAACAGCAAGCCCCGGAGAGGCUCCAGGCUCCGCUUGCCAGCUGGGGAUGUGGCCCCAUCCCCGGCUGGCGGCUCAUUCUGGCCACUCCAACCCCCCCAACCCCAGCUGCCUCACCCAUCACAUCAGAUGGGCAGGGACGUAAAUAAGUGACCUAAUCUUGCCUUUCAAGGAAGACUAAGCCCUCAGGAGACACGGGUCGCCUCCCCUCUCCCACUUUCACCUGCCCCCGUCUUGCGUGUGUUUUCGUGCUGAGUCAGUUUGGUCGUGUCAGACUCUUUGCAACCCCGUGGACUGUAGCCUGCCAGGCUCUUCUGUCCAUGCGAUUCUCCAGGCAAGAAUACUGGAGUGGGUUGCCAUGCCCUCUUCCAGAGGAUCUUCCUGACCCAGGGAUCGAAACCGCAUCUCUUGAGUCUCCUGCACUGGCAGGCGGGUUCUUUAUAACUAGCACCACCUGGGAAGUCUCAGGAAAAAGGAAAGAAAAAGGAAAGAGUUGGCUCCAAAUGAAGACUUUGCUUCCACUCCACUGACCACACCGUGCAGGCCUUGGUUGUCUGACCCCACAAAGGAGCAACCGCCCUGGCUGUUGGUCUCCAAGGCCUCUAUGUGAAGGUCGGUGGCUCAGAUGUUGCUAUUUUUUCACAUUUAUCAGAGACUGAUGGCAUGUGAGCCCAUGGAGAAUGCCGAGGUGGACCAAGCGGGCAGGCCCGGCUCAGCAGAUAAACACAUGCAUGGCAUUCCAGAGCCCUGAGGGCAGGCGCCCCUCCAAGCCCCCCUCCCAGCCCCCCUCCCACCCCCACCCCCAGCCUGGAGCGGCCUUGUCCACAUUGUCGCCUUCAGGGGCUUUCUCAGAGAUUCCCACCGCGGCGUGAGCGACAGGAUCAGCAGAACUGAGGGCUCGCUGGCCUGGCAGCCUCCGCAGUCACCCCCAGCCGCUGCUGCUGGGCCACCCUCCCCCCUUGGCUCCCUUCACUGCCUGCGCGACAAUAAAAGAACAGCUGGAGGCAGGGACUGGCUCUGGGUGUUCUGCCCAGGCACCUCAACCUGGCACUCCACCUGUCCCUCCCCCAGGAAAAGCCGUUGCUUUUG
ensembl:lncRNA